rnacentral:rRNA from 1 species
GCAUGAUGCAGUGUGAAAAACUCCGGUGGUAUAAGAUGGACCCGCGUUGGAUUAGCUAGUUGGUGAGGUAACGGCCCACCAAGGCGACGAUCCAUAGCCGACCUGAGAGGGUGACCGGCCACAUUGGGACUGAGACACGGCCCAAACUCCUACGGGAGGCAGCAGUGGGGAAUAUUGCACAAUGGGCGAAAGCCUGAUGCAGCGACGCCGCGUGAGCGAAGAAGUAUUUCGGUAUGUAAAGCUCUAUCAGCAGGGAAGAUAAUGACGGUACCUGACUAAGAAGCACCGGCUAAAUACGUGCCAGCAGCCGCGGUAAUACGUAUGGUGCAAGCGUUAUCCGGAUUUACUGGGUGUAAAGGGAGCGCAGGCGGUGCGGCAAGUCUGAUGUGAAAGCCCGGGGCUCAACCCCGGUACUGCAUUGGAAACUGUCGUACUAGAGUGUCGGAGGGGUAAGCGGAAUUCCUAGUGUAGCGGUGAAAUGCGUAGAUAUUAGGAGGAACACCAGUGGCGAAGGCGGCUUACUGGACGAUAACUGACGCUGAGGCUCGAAAGCGUGGGGAGCAAACAGGAUUAGAUACCCUGGUAGCCCACGCCGUAAACGAUGAAUACUAGGUGUUGGGAAGCAUUGCUUCUCGGUGCCG